GAUGAACGCUGGCGGCGUGCCUCAAACAUGCAAGUCGAGCGGGGCUAUGUAAUAUCGCAAGGUAGAACAUAGCCUAGCGGCGAACGGGUGAGUAACACGUGGGUAACCUGCCUGGAAGACAGGGAUAACGAUUCGAAAGGGUCGCUAAUACCUGAUAAUAUCCUUUCAUCGCAUGGUGAUAGGAAGAAAGGGGAAACCCGCUUUCAGAUGGGCCCGCGUCCCAUCAGCUAGUUGGUAAGGUAAAGGCUUACCAAGGCGACGACGGGUAGCCGGUCUGAGAGGAUGUACGGCCACACUGGGACUGAGAUACGGCCCAGACUCCUACGGGAGGCAGCAGUUGGGAAUCUUCCGCAAUGGGCGCAAGCCUGACGGAGCGACGCCGCGUGAGGGAAGAAGGCCUUCGGGUUGUAAACUCUGUCAUGGGGAGAAGUAAGUGACGGUACCCAAGAGGAAGCCCCUGCUAACUACGUG
rnacentral:rRNA from 1 species